rnacentral:rRNA from 1 species
CUCCGUGCCAGCAGCCGCGGUAAUACGGAGGAUGCGAGCGUUAUCAGGAUUUAUUGGGUUUAAAGGGUGCGUAGGCGGGAUUUUAAGUCAGCGGUGAAACGCAAGGGCUCAACCCUUGACCUGCCGUUGAAACUGGAGUUCUUGAAUGCGGAUGCUGUGGGAGGAAUGUGUGGUGUAGCGGUGAAAUGCAUAGAUAUCACACAGAACACCGAUUGCGAAGGCAUCUCACAAAUCCGUGAUUGACGCUGAGGCACGAAAGUGUGGGGAUCAAACAGGAUUAGAUACCCUGGUAGUCCACACUGUAAACGAUGAUAACUCGCUGUCGGCGAUACACAGUCGGUGGCCAAGCGAAAGCGAUAAGUUAUCCACCUGGGGAGUACGACCGCAAGGUUGAAACUCAAAGGAAUUGACGGGGGCCCGCACAAGCGGAGGAACAUGUGGUUUAAUUCGAUGAUACGCGAGGAACCUUACCCGGGCUCGAACGGCAAGUGAACGACACAGAGAUGUGAAGGUCCUUCGGGACACUUGUCGAGGUGCUGCAUGGUUGUCGUCAGCUCGUGCCGUGAGGUGUCGGCUUAAGUGCCAUAACGAGCGCAACCCUUGCCAUUAGUUACCAGCAUGUAAUGAUGGGGACUCUAGUGGGACUGCCACCGUAAGGUGUGAGGAGGGGGGGGAUGACGUCAAAUCAGCACGGCCCUUACGUCCGGGGCGACACACGUGUUACAAUGGUGGGUACAGAGGGCAGCUACCUGGUGACAGGAUGCAAAUCUCGAAAACCCAUCUCAGUUCGGAUCGGAGUCUGCAACUCGACUCCGUGAAGUUGGAUUCGCUAGUAAUCGCGCAUCAGCCAUGGCGCGGUGAAUACGUUCCCGGGCCUUGCACUCACCGCCCGUCAAG